rnacentral:rRNA from 1 species
GACGAACGCUGGCGGCGUGCUUAACACAUGCAAGUCGAACGAUGAAGCCGGAGCUUGCUCUGGUGAAUUAGUGGCGAACGGGUGAGUAACACGUGAGUAACCUGCCCUUGACUCUGGGAUAACUGCUAGAAAUGGUAGCUAAUACCGGAUACGACCCUCGGUGGCAUCACCAGGGGGUGGUAAGAAUUUCGGUCAAGGAUGGACUUGCGGACUAUCAGCUAGUUGGUGAGGUAACGGCUCAACAAGGCGACGACGGGUAGCCGGCCUGAGAGGGUGACCGGCCACACUGGGACUGAGACACGGCCCAGACUCCUACGGGAGGCAGCAGUGGGGAAUAUUGCACAAUGGGCGCAAGCCUGAUGCAGCAACGCCGCGUGAGGGAUGACGGCCUUCGGGUUGUAAACCUCUUUUAGUAGGGAAGAAGCGAAAGUGACGGUACCUGCAGAAAAAGCACCGGCUAACUACGUGCCAGCCGCCGCAGUAA